rnacentral:pre_miRNA from 1 species
GUCGAGGGGAAUGAUGUCCGGUCCGAAGGCGCCUGCGGCGGCGAGGCACCGCGGCUUCGGACCAGGCUUCAUUCCCCAUGAC